ensembl:miRNA
GGCCAGUGCCCCUUUAUGUUGUGCUACUGGUGACCCUGCUGGAUAAAGCAGUGCAACGUUAAAAGGGCAUUGGCCUGAAAUGGUCAC